CUUGGACAUCUUGGCGAUGGCCAUAUCGACUUUAGGGGGAGGACCCCAAGGGCGCUGCUGGUCUACAUUAAGCAGAAACAUAGAUUUGAACCGCUUGGUGAUAACCGGACCUUUUUCCGGGAGUUUCCAUUCAGUCUCCAUUAACUUAAUGAGAGACUCAUCCACUUUGAAGGCCCUUGGCCCUCUAGAGGUGGUCUCUGGAGCUUCCUUAGAGUCAACAUCCUGGUUCUUCUUCAGAAGAAGAGUCAAGCUCAUCUACAGUGAGAUAAGCGUCUUCAGACAUAGGGACCACCCUUGCAGGGGACUGGGCCCUAGGUCUCUUUAUCUGGAGUGUAUCCUCAAAUCUCUUGAUAGAGGAUCCAACAAAAUCUUUAACCCAAA